rnacentral:rRNA from 1 species
GAAUCUUCCACAAUGGGCGCAAGCCUGAUGGAGCAACACCGCGUGAGUGAAGAAGGGUUUCGGCUCGUAAAGCUCUGUUGUUAAAGAAGAACACGUAUGAGAGUAACUGUUCAUACGUUGACGGUAUUUAACCAGAAAGUCACGGCUAACUACGUGCCAA